rnacentral:lncRNA from 1 species
CUCUUCACUUAGGUAGGUCCUGCCGCGUUGACCACUGGCGUCUCGCUGGUGGUCUUCGAGACCGGCGUUGGUUGAAAAUCGCCCCCGGCUUUGGCCGUGGCCGCGGGUGAGAUUCGGCGCCCAGAGCCCCCGGGGGCCUCAGCUCACCGCGCGCUGCCCCAUGUGCGGCGGUGAAACCCAGGCCCCGACAGGCGCUGCCGCCUCCCCCCCGGGUGCGGUCGCUCGCGAGGUCUGGCCCCUGACUCCUGACCCCGACUGCAGACCCCUAACCUUGUUCUUUCUCCGCAGGACACUGGUCCUCCCACGCCUGACACCGACGUCGCCAGGACCGCGGGGUUGGGGGAACUUGGCUGUCCCACGUCUUUCAAAUAAAGCUGUUUUGUC